rnacentral:rRNA from 1 species
AUACGUAGGGGGCGAGCGUUGUCCGGAAUGAUUGGGCGUAAAGGGCGCGUAGGCGGCGCGGUAAGUCUGGAGUGAAAGUCCUGCUUUCAAGGUGGGAAUUGCUUUGGAUACUGCCGCGCUUGAGUGCAGGAGAGGUUAUCGGAAUUCCCGGUGUAGCGGCGAAAUGCGUAGAGAUCGGGAGGAACACCAGUGGCGAAGGCGGGUAACUGGACUGCAACUGACGCUGAGGCGCGAAAGUGUGGGGAGCAAACAGGAUUAGAUACCCUGGUAGUCCACACUGUAAACGAUGAAUGCUAGGUGUAAGAGGUAUCGACCCCUUUUGUGCCGGAGUCAACACAAUAAGCAUUCCGCCUGGGGAGUACGGCCGCAAGGUUGAAACUCAAAGGAAUUGACGGGG